UUCUUCAUCAUUCGUUUGAACUCGAUGAAAAAAACACUAACAGAGUGUUUCAAUUUAGGUAGAAACAAAUUCGUUCACCUGAUCUCAAACUAGGGAUUCUAAUUUUGUUAACAAUUUAGGGUUUCCGCUUCGAUUGGUGGUUCAAUUUCAAUUUAGGAAGAUUCAGAUUAUAUCUACCCAAAUACACUAACCUAAACUCCAUUCCAAAGUUCAAAGAAAUCCAACCAGAUAAACAAACGUCAGCUAAAUAAUUGCAAUCCAAUACGUAAUCAUACUAAUUUAUCAAUCAACCCAAUAAUGCUUGCUUAUGCACUGAGUUUACUGCUUAGGUGCAUCUGAUUAUAAUUUUUGUGAUGAUUAAUUUUCUGCAGCAAGUGAACAAUCUACUACCGGAACUGAUGUUGGUAACUGGAUAGCAUUUACAGAGCCAAGGAUGCAAGGUUGAGUUCCUUCAACGCGAUCCGAGAAUGCCUCAAGGGAGAGACCCCGUGAAAGUCUGGCACGUAUUGAUGCUUCAGCGGAGUGCAACCAGGCCUCUAACUCCAGACCCCAUAACCGUCCAAGACUUAUCAAUUAACAGGAUCAACGUCACAUAAUACAGCAUCAAACAAAGAUUUCCGAGUUGGAACCAGUAGAUCUUGAUUUUUGCAAUGUAUAUGUACAGAGUGAGUGCCUAUGAAGUUUGUAUUCAUGGAAAACAGGUCCGAAGCUUACAGUGUUGAAGAUGUUGAUUCACUUCUAAGCAGGUACUAAACAAGAAAAUCUGUUGUGCCAGGCUGUUGGUAUUGCCAUCGACAAGGGGUGGUACUGCCUUUGUUGCCACAACUACACUAAUGGUUAAAAGAAAUUUAUCCAUUCAAAUGUAUUAGCUCUUUCCCAGCUUAUUUAUUUAAACACCGCUGAAUUGGGGGCCCUGGAAAGUAAUUGGGGGCCUCCCACUAGAGGAUAAAAAAGGUCACCCAAUCCUAAUUUGGGUCACUCCUUAUCCAAAUAUUUUUGGUAAUGCCUAAUUUAUCCCUUAUCUAAUUAGUGGUAAUCCCACUUAAUUAGUACAAAAUUUUAAAAUCAAAAUCAAAAUCAAAAUCUAAUUCUUUUUUUUCC